rnacentral:rRNA from 1 species
GCAUUCCUCGGGACGCAGCAGUAGGGAAUAUUGCUCAAUGGGGGAAACCUGAAGCAGCAACGCCGCGUGGAGGAUGAAGGUUUUCGGAUUAUAAACUCCUUUUGUUAGAGAAGAUAAUGACGGUAUCUAACGAAUAAGCACCGGCUAACUCCGUGCCAGCAGCCGCGGUAAUACGGAGGGUGCAAGCGUUACUCGGAAUCACUGGGCGUAAAGAGCGCGUAGGCGGGAUAGCAAGUCAGAUGUGAAAUCCUAUGGCUUAACCAUAGAACUGCAUUUGAAACUGUUAUUCUAGAGUAUGGGAGAGG